rnacentral:tRNA from 1 species
UAAAAAAUAGUUUAAUUAGAAAAACCAAGAAAUUUGAAUUCUUAAAUACAAGUGCAAUUCUUGUUUUUUUAA